rnacentral:tRNA from 1 species
GGAAAUAGCUCAGUGGUAGAGCGCAUGCUUAGCAUGCACAAGGCCCUGGGUUCAAUCCCCAGUACCUCCA